rnacentral:rRNA from 1 species
GACGAACGCUGGCGGCGUGCUUAACACAUGCAAGUCGAACGGAAAGGCCCAGCUUGCUGGGUACUCGAGUGGCGAACGGGUGAGUAACACGUGGGUGAUCUGCCCCUGACUCUGGGAUAAGCCUGGGAAACUGGGUCUAAUACCGGAUAUGACCAUUCCCUGCAUGGGGUUUGGUGGAAAGCUUUUGCGGUUGGGGAUGGGCCCGCGGCCUAUCAGCUUGUUGGUGGGGUAAUGGCCCACCAAGGCGACGACGGGUAGCCGACCUGAGAGGAUGAUCGGCCACACUGGGACUGAGACACGGCCCAGACUCCUACGGGAGGCAGCAGUGGGGAAUAUUGCACAAUGGGCGCAAGCCUGAUGCAGCGACGCCGCGUGAGGGAUGACGGCCUUCGGGUUGUAAACCUCUUUCGCCAGGGACGAAGCGCAAGUGACGGUACCUGGAGAAGAAGCACCGGCCAACUACGUGCCAGCCGCCGCGGUAAAAC